ensembl:miRNA
UUUACUCUGAACUAGCUCUGCGGAUCCUGAUAGACAGCCUGAUAGACAGUAUCCACAGAGCUAGUCCAGAGUAAA